rnacentral:rRNA from 1 species
AUAGCGUAUAUUAAAGUUGUUGCAGUUAAAAAGCUCGUAGUCGAACUUGAGGCCUGGCUGGGUGGUCCGUCCUUUUGGAUGUGUACUGCUCUUGGCUGGGUCUUUCCUCUUGGUGAACUGGUGUGCCCUUUACUGGGUGUGCCAGGGAACCAGGACUUUUACUUUGAAAAAAUUAGAGUGUUCAAAGCAGGCCUAUGCCCGAAUACAUUAGCAUGGAAUAAUAGAAUAGGACGUUGCGGUUCUAUUUUGUUGGUUUCUAGGAUCGCCGUAAUGAUUAAUAGGGAUAGCUGGGGGCAUUAGUAUUCGAUUGCUAGAGGUGAAAUUCUUGGAUUUAU